ensembl:lncRNA
CAUAGUGUUCCCCCCCUCCACCAUUAACAAAUGGUUCAGCCCAUAGCAGGACCGGCUUUUUUCUUGUUUUCAGUAGCAAGCGAUGCUUAUGAUUGUGCCAGAGCACAUUUUGAACAACACCAUGGGAAUUUCGGAUUUUGCACAGCUGGUUGGAUGUUACACUCUGGAAAUGGAAGGAAGAAACUCUGGCUUGUCAGGGCCAAAGAUGCACGACUGUCUCCAUCCAGACUCAGAGCCCAGUGCAAGUCAUCAGGGGAGAAGGACAGCUACAAAUCACAGACAGCAUAUAAAACACAGAGCAGCCACCAAGAACGUGAGGAGGAUUGGCCUGAAAAACCAAGGGACGCUGCACUCUUAUUAGUUAAUAACUGAUCAGUCACAGUAAAACAGAUCCUGUUUUAUCUGUUUUUUUCCUGCAUACAAAUGAUUGUCGUGAUCCCUAACAGGGUUUGGCUUUCUUUGCAAAGGACAGAAAAAUAAAUAUUUUAUUACAAAGUGGGCUUUUAUUUACUCUGGCACAGAUUACUAACAUUAGAAUUUCCAUAUAUGUCCAACAAGGAGUCUGCCCUGGAGCAGACCCAGGACCCACUAGAGAUUUCAUCUCUUAGCUGGCAUGGGAACAGCCCCAAAAGACCUGGAGGAGCUGGGUAGAGAUGGGCCUUUCUGUUUAGACUGCUGCCCACAUGAUCCGGAAAAGUAUUAGAAAAUGAAUAAACAGAUGGAUGCUCACCCUACCAUCAUCGUGCUCAGGAAGUCUUUAAUGUUCUCAAGUGGACAGACUGAAACUACAUCUGUCUCUUAAUUAUGCAAGGACUCAUAAGAUUACACAUCCCCCUCCUACCUAAAGAGUGAGUGCUGAAAACCCCCCAAAUAAUCUUUACCUUUAGGGCUCCACUGAAGCUGAGUGGUUUCACUCAUUCAAAGUCCUGAAAACAAAGAAAAAAGUAGUAAGUAAAGUGUAAAGAAGCUCAGCACUUGUAACACUAGGCUUGGUUUCUCCUCAGAAACUCUGGCUUGUCAGGGCCAAAGAUGCACGACUGUCUCCAUCCAGACUCAGAGCCCAGUGCAAGUCAUCAGGGGAGAGGGGGGGCAGCAAAUCCGCAUACCGCUUAAAAUAAAAGCGAUCAUGCAGUAUUAUUAAGUUACUAAUCACUACAAACCAAAAAUAAUUCAAGUCUUACUGCCUGAUUAUACUUCAAUUACUCCUCACACUGCGAGCUACCAUGCUAAAGGCUGACCACGUGGAGACAGGCCCACGAAGUUACCGAUGGCCAGGUUACUUCCACUGCUAGUAAUGAACCAACAACAGCAUCGCAACCAGCCUAAUUUAUUUCAGAUAUGUUUAAAGGCGCUUUUCUCAAAAUACUUAGAAGAGAACUUAAAAAUUUAAUGUCCGAGCAAAAGGUCGCAACUAUUUCCACCUACAGAUGUGCCGUCAGUCGGACCGCUUCACCUGAAACUGCCACAGGUAAUAACACAAAACAAACCUAAACCUGAGCAACAUUCAUAUUAUGAUCUUACCAUUUCCACCAGAAAACAAAGCGUGCCUCUCGUUCUGCCUCUAGUUCUGCCUCCACUCUCUACUCUCUACUUCCG